ACAAGAAUUGUUGAAUAGAAACACAUUCGAUGACAGCACUGAACUUUAAUAUAUACUGAAUUUAAGCUAGUAUAAUUUAAUUUCUAAUCUAAAGUUUAAACGGAUAAUGCUUAUCACAUCGGAUAAUUCAUGUGUUGACAUUAGUGUGCAUAUAUGAAUGUAAACUUUUAUUGUAGUAUUUCUGUGACUGAAAUUUUAAGGAAAAAAAAAAAAAAUCAGAUAGCCCUAGACUUAUUUACAAUGAAUGACUGUGAAUUUACACACAUGAAACUGUCUUUUGUUAUCAUGUUGGUGUGAAACAGCGUUCUACUGGGAUCUGCUCUUCUGCGUUUGAACAUAUUUGAAAGAGGGCAGUUAUAACACUGUUGGGCUGGGACUAAGAUAAAAAGAUAGGUAGGAAAUGCAGAUCGACAGGCUGUCCCUGAGACCAAAGCUUGUUGAAGAAGCAAGUGAUUUGUUAGCUGCUUCAGAGAUAGAUGAGAGGACGGGAGUGAAACUUCAACAAUCUGUUCCGGCAUGCACUCUCCCUCUGUGACUUCAGCUGAGACAGUCUGUGAGGAUCAAACCGCACACCCUGAAAGAGAGAAAAUCAGCCGUUCAUCCACAUAAAAAAGAGAAGACGAACACUCAACUGGUGGAAAUCAGAAGUUUAUCAGUUGUACUCUUGAGGAUCUGAUAAUUGGGCCCUCCAUCUCCUGAGACACAGAACUGGCCUCAACUUUUCAAAGUUCACCAGGACGACAACACAACAUUAUCCAUGGAAAUAAAUACAGUAUACAAAGAGCUCCUGGAGCCGCAGGGGAAACUAGCAAAUAAGCACACAGAUUCUUGCACUGAUUAAGAAGGUGCUGAUAUGUAGCAAUCCCUGAUGCUAGGAGUUGCAGCCUCUAGCCUCCUUGAUAGAGUGUCUGACUCCCAUGCCAGAGACCUAGGUUUGAGGCCCACGCAGAGCGGGGACAGACCUGCAAUCCACAAGCUGAGAACCACUGAUCUGAACAUUAUUUGCAGCAUUAUCGAGAAACCCAGCCAAUCAAAAAGAUCCUUAUGCUGCAUUGAAACCAGCAUGGACACAAUUGAUUGGCACGCAAGGAAGCAACAAGAGCCCAGUCCGAAAGCCCACCCUGGGGCAAAGCUCACACAAUCGUCCUGUUGUCUCACAUCCAGUUCUCAAAAUUCAAUGUGUCAAAUUGGUGUGGAGGAAAACAAUGCAGAACUGAGUAUGUGUAAAUGAGGGAUUCUGGAGAGACCAAUAACACAUUCAGUUUGAUGUUUGUGUGUGUGUAUUUUAGUGUUUGGCUGCUUUUGGUGAGCCAUCUCUGUUGUAAUACAAUCUGCUCUGUGGUCUUGGUUGGAAGAGAUAAGGUGGUUCAUACAACAGUUUAUCAGACAUUCUCCCAUGCAGUCUCUUAAAUGGAUACCCAGAGGGGGCAGUAAAAGGCCGUGUUGCAUUGUGUGAGCUUGCUGCUGUGUUCGUGCUGCUUUAUUGAACAUGGAACAAGGCCAUUUGGAUGCACAAAGCAGAGGUGAUCUUGGGUAAAGUAGAUGCGCCCAGAACACUGGAGUGUGAAGCUUACAUUCUGUGUAAGAGUGACCACUUAUAUCACAGUGGCACUUCGGAAUUAAAAAGAAAAAACAAACCAAAAACGACAUCAACAAAAAACAAAAGUGCUCAUUGCAUUUGUCCUUCACACAUGCUUAUUGUCACUUGCUACUGAAUGUGAUGGAUACGAAACGGCAAAAUAAAUGAUUUGUUUUGUUGUGAAGUUACCUACACAAAUACUAUGGACCUAGUAGCAGCGUAUAGAAAAAGAUGAGUGCUUUGCAACUUUUUUUUCAUUUAAUAGACAGUGACUGUGUGCAGAGUGUUUUAAUUUUUUUUUUUUCCUUUUCAGCACCAAUUUCUAUAUACACUGGGAGCUGCUGCCUAUCAUUGGAAAGGAAGGUCACAAAUUUUACAAUUCCUCCGAGGGAAGGCGGAAAAUGAGAAAUGCUGUGGCAUUAAGAAAAGACUGUAAUAGUUACAUUGUCAAAAGAACGAUUAUUAUUAUUGAGCUAUUCAAGGUCAGGAUGGAAAAGAGGGCAGCGUCAGUCCUAAUAGAUGCUUAUUUCUCCGUUAACCUUACCCGUGUAAUAGCGGUCUAGAGUUAAUGAAAUAAAAUGCCAAUUAUACUCUACCUCAGCUUGGCCAUGACUGCAACCAAAGGCCUUUACACUCGAAUGAGAACAGACAUGCUGCGGUUCUGCCUGUGGACAAACUAAUAUCAGAAUAACAACAUCAGAAUUUUUUUAUUUCAUUUUUUUUUUUAAAAAACAAUCUACAUAACAUGCUCAUGUCCUGAAUGGAAAAGCUUUGGUUUGAAGGAACACUUCAUUUAGACUAUAAAGCCACAGACUGCAGCUACAUUUUUGAUAAUUAGUGUGUCGUAAUCCAUCAAACCCUUAAUUAAAUGCAGCAGGCCAUAUUGACACUGCAGUACACUUUAAAAUAUGCCUUUAUAAC